rnacentral:lncRNA from 1 species
GCGGCUCUUUCUGGCGAACAUGGCAACCCCCUGGGAAACCAUGGGCUGGCGUUUAAACCAAUAGCAGCAGCAAUACGGUGCAGAAAUCACCGGACACUCAGCCCCGAGGCAAGGCGCUGCCUUCCCGGGGACGGGAAAGUAAGGCGGCCACAGUCACCCCUGCAGGGUUUGGUAGCAGGUUCUCAAAACUAGGAACUUCCCUCCAGAUGACUAAGUCCUUUUCUAUUUUCCAAAGGCUCUGGCGCUCCGUCACUUUGUCGAGGCUUUUCUGGGGAAGGGGGGGCCUGGGGCUCCAGUCCCAGCAUUUGCAGAGCAAAUAACCGAGUGUUUACCGAGCAGCGUUCCGUGGUCUGGGGCUUGUAUAAAUAAAACAUAGACAGAUGAGAAAGUCCAAAUGGAAAGACUGGCUUGGAAUGUCCCACUGGCGGGGGGCGGGCCGCGGAGGGCAGUUUUCCAUCCCAGAAGGAGAAAGAUCGCGCAGUGUUUCCAGCACGGUUUCCAGAGCCUCUGCAGAACGCGUUAGAGAGAAACGGUAUACGCGGACUCUGCCUCCUGUGAGCAUCUCCACGGAGGGUUCGAGCAAGUGGGGGCUACCCGGGCAAGGAAGAGAUGACACCCAAGGAUAGGAGGUGCUGUGGGUGGGACCCAAAUUCGGGUCUGCUCGGAAGCUCCGAAUGUCACUUUUGGGAAAUAGGGUCUUGGCGAUGUAUUGAAGGAUUUCCAAACUCUUGGAGAAGAUUCGAUGGGGACGCUGUGGGCGGGCCAGCGAUGGAGCGGAGGCUGGACCAAGGUGUUGCCCCCUCCUUCGGCCUCGUCCUGCGCCUCUCGGCCACACGGGGAAGGCGGCACUCGGUCACAAGUGCCCAGAGAAGGCAGCGUGGCCUGGGGGCCAGGACCAUGCCAGGCGGGGUCUCACCGUGCUCCACGCAGGGGACCAACACGAGGGAAGAACCACAGCGGCCUGCUGCUCACGCGUGAGACCACGGACGCGGCCACAGCCUCCGGGGCCUUCCUUCCAGAGCUGAGACCCAGCGACGCACGAGAAUUUCAAAGUCUCCUGUUCUCAGUUUUUAUAAAAUAGAAUAAAAUGGCCUCUUGGUCAUGCA